UCUGCCCUUCACUCUGGGACAAGCCCUGGMMACKGGGUCUAAUACCGGAUAACACUCCUGCCUGCAUGGGCGGGGGUUAAAAGCUCCGGCGGUGAAGGAUGAGCCCGCGGCCUAUCAGCUUGUUGGUGAGGUAACGGCUCACCAAGGCGACGACGGGUAGCCGGCCUGAGAGGGCGACCGGCCACACUGGGACUGAGACACGGCCCAGACUCCUACGGGAGGCAGCAGUGGGGAAUAUUGCACAAUGGGCGAAAGCCUGAUGCAGCGACGCCGCGUGAGGGAUGACKGCCUUCGGGUUGUAAACCUCUUUCAGCAGGGAAGAAGCGAAAGUGACGGUACCUGCAGAAGAAGCGCCGGCUAACUACGUGCCAGCAGCCGCGGUAAUACGUAGGGCGCAAGCGUUGUCCGGAAUUAUUGGGCGUAAAGAGCUCGUAGGCGGCUUGUCACGUCGGUUGUGAAAGCCCGGGGCUUAACCCCGGGUCUGCAGUCGAUACGGGCAGGCUAGAGUUCGGUAGGGGAGAUCGGAAUUCCUGGUGUAGCGGUGAAAUGCGCAGAUAUCAGGAGGAACACCGGUGGCGAAAGCGGAUCUCUGGGCCGAUACUGACGCUGAGGAGCGAAGCGUGGGAGCGAACAGGAUUAGAUAYCCUGGUAGUCCACGCCGUAAACGGUGGGCACUAGUGUGGGCAACAUUCCACGUUGUCCGUGCCGCAGCUAACGCAUUAAUGCCCCCGCCUGGGGAGUACGGCCGCAAGGCUAAACUCAAGGAUUGACGGGGCCCGC
rnacentral:rRNA from 1 species